rnacentral:rRNA from 1 species
GACGAACGCUGGCGGCGUGCUUAAUACAUGCAAGUCGAGCGAGGUUACUGUUUUGGAUCCCUUCGGGGUGAAGAAGCUUUAACCUAGCGGCGGACGGGUGAGUAACGCGUGGGUAACCUACCCCAAAGUCCGGGAUAACAGCGGGAAACCGCUGCUAAUACCGGAUGCCUUUACCUUGGGGCAUCUUGAGGUAAAGAAAGGUAACGCUUUGGGAUGGGCCCGCGUCCCAUUAGCUAGUUGGUGAGGUAACGGCUCACCAAGGCGACGAUGGGUAGCCGGCCUGAGAGGGUGGACGGCCACACUGGGACUGAGACACGGCCCAGACUCCUACGGGAGGCAGCAGUAGGGAAUAUUGCGCAAUGGACGGAAGUCUGACGCAGCGACGCCGCGUGAGCGAUGAAGGUCUUCGGAUCGUAAAGCUCUGUCCUUGGGGAAGAAGGCGAAAGCUUGACGGUACCCAAGAAGAAAGCCCCGGCUAACUACGUGCCAGCAGCCGCGGUAAUACGUAGGGGGCGAGCGUUGUCCGGAAUUACUGGGCGUAAAGGGUGCGUAGGCGGCCCUUUAAGUCGGAUGUGAAAGCCCGCGGCUUAACCGCGGAAUGGCAUUCGAAACUGGAGGGCUUGAGUGUCGGAGAGGGUAGUGGAAUUCCCAGUGUAGCGGUGAAAUGCGUAGAUUUUGGGAGGAACACCAGUGGCGAAGGCGACUACCUGGACGAUAACUGACGCUGAGGCACGAAAGCUAGGGGAGCAAACAGG